AGAUGAUCCUCGGUAAGCAUGUGGGCCUGAUCCAGUCUGUCCAGGAGCCUUCAGACAGAACUGAGUUUCCUUGAGAAAGAAGAAACUGCCUGUACCUGAAGAAAUCUAAGACAAAGACACCUCAAGUCAGAACUGUGGAAUCAUGAAUGCCAUGUUACUCCAAUGAUGAAGAAAAGGGAAGAGACAGCCCAACCUCAGGUAGCCGUGGUUUCCCGAGGGUGUGUGCUGGUGUGAAAGUCCCCUGUGUGCUGUGUUGAUGGCUACAGAGAAUAUUGACAAGGAACAGUCAAAACUGCCCUACUUCAGCACCGAGGGAAGUUAUUCUUCUUGUGAGGGACUUGUCUACACUGAACUGAAGGCAUUUCUAACCUCUGGAGUUUCAAAUUUUUAAAACUGACUUGUGACAAUAUUUUUGCUCAAGGAAUUCUAAAAAGAGGCAUAAUAUUUUCAAAAUGUUGUCCUGAUGGUUCUUCCUUACAUUAAUUGAAAAACUUGAUGACUCUAGGAGGCUGCCUAGUUACUGUAGCCUGACAAGCCUGAUGAAAGCUGCUCACUCUCUGGCCUCCUCUCCGUCUACUCCUCUCCUAGAUCACAGCCCU
rnacentral:lncRNA from 1 species